CAGAGGGUGCAAACGUUGUUCGGAAUUAUUGGGCGUAAAGCGCGUGUAGGCGGCUUUGCAAGUCGGGUGUGAAAGCCCUCAGCUCAACUGAGGAAGUGCGCCCGAAACUGCAGAGCUUGAGUACCAGAGAGGAUGGCGGAAUUCCCCAAGUAGAGGUGAAAUUCGUAGAUAUGGGGAGGAACACCGGUGGCGAAGGCGGCCAUCUGGAUGGAUACUGACGCUGAGACGCGAAAGCGUGGGUAGCAAACAGGAUUAGAUACCCUGGUAGUCCACGCCGUAAACGAUGAGAACUAGGUGUCGUGGGUGUUGACCCCCGCGGUGCCGUAGCUAACGCAUUAAGUUCUCCGCCUGGGAAGUACGGCCGCAAGGCUA
rnacentral:rRNA from 1 species